GAUGAACGCUGGCGGCGUGCCUAACACAUGCAAGUCGAACGAGUGGCGGACGUGGGAGUCACGUCGGGGAAACUGCCCGUAGGAGGGGGAUAACUACUGGAAACGGUAGCUAAUACCGUAUACCAUCGGAUGUGCAUAGAUGGGAUUAGCUAGUAGGUGGGGUAACGGCUCACCUAGGCGACGGCCCCUAGCUGGUCUGAGAGGGUGACCGACCACACUGGAACUUAGACACGGUCCAGACUCCUACGGGAGGCAGCAGUGGGGAAUAUUGGGCAAUGGGCGCAAGCCUGAUGCAGCCAUGCCGCGUGUAUGAAGAAGGCCUUCGGAUUGUAAAGUACUUUCAUCGAAGAGGCGUUAUUCGAAGAGGAAGCACCGGCUAACUCCGUGCCAGCAGCCGCGGUAAUAC
rnacentral:rRNA from 1 species